AUGGCCCCCAGGCUCCUUUUCUGUCUGGUUCUUUGCUUCUUGAGAGCAGAACCAACAAAUGCUGGUGUCAUCCAAACACCUAGGCACAAGGUGACAGGGAAGGGACAAGAAGCAACUCUGUGGUGUGAGCCAAUUUCAGGACAUAGUGCUGUUUUCUGGUACAGACAGACCAUUGUGCAGGGCCUGGAGUUCCUGACUUACUUUCGAAAUCAAGCUCCUAUAGAUGAUUCAGGGAUGCCCAAGGAACGAUUCUCAGCUCAGAUGCCCAAUCAGUCGCACUCAACUCUGAAGAUCCAGAGCACGCAACCCCAGGACUCAGCGGUGUAUCUUUGUGCAAGCAGCUUAGA